rnacentral:lncRNA from 1 species
GAAAAUGAGUUGUUUUUCUGGUUUUGGCGGGAAAAUGCAUUUUCCGGUUUCGGCUGGAAAAUGCGUUUUUGCGGUUUUUGCGGGGAAAUGUUUUUUUUCCGGUUUUGGCGAGAAAAUACGUUUUUGCGAUUUUGGUGAAAAAGUGUGUGUUUUAUGGUUUUGGCGGGAAUGUGUGUGUUUACGGAUUUGGCGGGAAAGAGUGUUUUUUGGUUUUUG